AACGCACCUUGCACCCUUUGGCAUUCCGAAGGGUAUGCUCGUUUGAGUGUCAUUGUACUCUCACACUUCUCAUCCUUUGGAUUUGGAGCGGUGGACUUGGGUGUUGCCGCUUUACGGUGGCUCACCUCUAAUGCAUUCGUGCAACUCUUGGUUGGACAUAGUACGGCGUGAUAAGUGUCUUCGCCGGCACCUCGCAAGAGGGUGGCUGAUUGAGAGCUCUGUGCUUUCAAACCGUCCUUGGACAAUGACUGACAACUUGACCUCAAAUCGAGUAGGACUACCCGCUGAACUUAA
rnacentral:misc_RNA from 1 species